rnacentral:rRNA from 1 species
AUUCCAGCUCCAAUAGCGUAUAUUAAAGUUGUUGCAGUUAAAAAGCUCGUAGUUGGAUUUCUGGUGGAAGUGACCGGUCUGUCCCUAGUGGAUGUGAACUUGUGUCUACUUUUGCCAUCCUUGGGGAGAGCGUGCCUGGCAUUAGGUUGUCGGGUUCGGGAUCCCCAUCCUUUACUGUGAAAAAAUUAGAGUGUUUAAAGCAGGCUUAUGCCAUUGAAUACAUUAGCAUGGAAUAAUAAGAUAGGACUUUGGUGGUCUAUUUUGUUGGUUUGCACACCAAGGUAAUGAUUAAUAGGGAUAGUUGGGGGUAUCCGUAUUUCGUAGUCAGAGGUGAAAUUCUUGGAUUUACGAAAGACGAACUACUGCGAAAGCAUUUACCAAGGAUGUUUUCAUUA